GCCCCAUCACCACUUGCGGCCCGCACCACCCGCAUGUUGCUAGCUACGCCUCUGGUACCAAGUCCUACAAGCAGGCUAGGACCUUGACUUGGAUGUCACUCGCUAUUUGAGAUACAUGUCUGAACGGGAUAAAUUAAAGACAGAGGAAGACGAAGGCCUUAAAAGCAAAGGUAAACUAGGCGACCGCCUUGGAGCUAUCCGGAAAUUAUUUUCCUUGCAAACAUGUCCAUAUAUUUCAGAAGUACGAGUGACCAACAUGGCUGCUAACCUCGUUGUGAAUAUCAAGAACAAGAUUACAAAGAGAGUUUGUGUUACACAAACUCAGAGGCGGACCCCGUCGAAGUCGGAUACUUGUCGGAUCUGCAUAUUCGCAAAAAAUAUUCAAGAGAUUUUCAAAACAUAUUAACAUCUGGUUGAAAUGGAGAAAGGCAAUUAGGGAAACGAAAGAAUAGACACACUCCAGAUGAAUGGCGUAUGAUGAUGUAGUGGACAGUACAGAAUGGACAGUACAGAUUGGAAUGAUCAAGAUAUUGAACUAAAGCCAACGGCAGAUUGGCAAUGUCAAACUUACAACAUGAAAUAUAAGUGAAGAUGGCCCUAAUGCUGAAGACAUUCUUAAGAAAGCUCUAAAAAAAAGCAGACUAGCCAAGAUUGAUGCCUCUUCGGAAAUCCACAAAGACACGAUGAAAGCAUUGUAAAAGCUAGUGACAAUCCACAGAUGUAUUCUUAACUGGCUUGAAAAACUCUUUCGUCCCACUUUCAGUUAAGAGUAUUACAAGACCAUCCGUCGUCAUCGAGAAGUUCAUAGAAGUCUAAUUUAUAAAGCGUUGGCUAUGAGUGUGUAUGUGUUCCGUGUGUGAAUGUUGUUCGUAUUUGCAUUUAUAUUGUUAUUGUACAGUAGUUACGCUGAGGUUGUCAAUUGUAGUCAAACCGAAUUUCCAUUUGAUGGGAUCAAUAAAAAUUAUCUGAUCUUAAAUUAAUGUUAUUAAUGUCAAGAAAGCAAAGUAGAUAAAAAUUAUACAUUUUAUUAACAUCCCCAAACACUUAAAACCUUUAGAUAACCAUUUCCCAGUUCUAUAAUUACGUUCACAUGUUUAGUCAUAUUUGAAAGUGUCAUACAGCGCUGUUAUUUCGCAUUAAGCCCUCAUUUCAUCUACUAUAUAAAUAUGAUUAUGGUAGAAUGCUUUUUGAUAUUUUCGACAUGUUACUAAUGCGUUUAUAGUGUUUCCUCUUCCACUUUGCAUUCUUGGUAAGAAAUCUUAUAAUUAUAUAUUGUAAAUCUGGGUGUGUACUUAGCUAUAGCGUGUCUAUUGGAUGUGGGGGAUGUAAUAUUAUAAUAUUAUCCUGCGCAUGAUGUAAUGAUCAAAGGCCAAGGUUUGGUGGAAGUAGUGAAAAUCAUUCGAGAGAUAGAAGUGCGAUUAGAAUAAUAAUGACCAUGCCUCUGAUAACUUAUCAUCAAAGGCCAAGGUGUGGUGCAAGUAGUGGAAAUCUUUUUAGAGAUAGAAGUGCGAUUAGAAUAAUAAUGACCAUGCCUCUGAUAACUUAUCAUCAAAGGCCAAGGUGUGGUGCAAGUACUACCAUGUUUCACUUUAUUUUAUUUUUCAAUCGCUCUUUCAUGAAAAUGGGCGCGUCAUUUUUAGCCUUGAAAUAAGGUUUUAUUUUUUUUCUUCUAUUAAAUGCUGACUUCACCCAUCUUCAGGAUAUUAUGUCGCCUAUGUAAGUUUUGCUUUAAUUCCUUUUAAACAUUAAAGUCUUAAAUUGUGUAAUAGGAAUUUAUUUCUAUCAAUAUUUCAUUUCUACAUGUAUAUGUAAGUAUGCAUUUUGUUUAUUGAUAGUCACUUUAGAUAUCAAAACUGGUGAGCCUAUAUUUAUGUGAACAUAAAUACCUAUUUAUACCAUAUUUCUGUCAUGCUGAGGUUCCUUUAGCCUUAAAAUUAAUUGAUUGAGUGCUUGUUGGAAAUAAUCUUUCAUGUAUAAUUAGGGUGUGACUCUCUCUCUCUUUCUCUCUCUCUCUCUGCCAUUAGGCGUCGAUCUGAUCUAUUUAUUCCACUCCACAGCAUCGUUUUUAGGUUUUAUAAGUGAUCAGCAGUUCUCUAUUUCAAAUAGCCAACAUUGCCUGGCUCCCCGAACUGUUGAGAAAUGCUAUCUCUGCUCUGCCCAGAAAAUGUUUUAUAAGCAGGACUCUCAGACAACAUCGUGAACGACUCAGAAACAAAGACAUUGGUGGAGCUUGGCCAUCUCUUCCGGCUGAGGCUAACUUUGAGGUACCAGCAGUGUACAAAGAGUUUCUAUUAUACGACUCCUUGGAGAAAAGCGAAAAGCAUGGAUUUCUAGUUUUCGGUGACAGACAGUUACUAGAAUGGCUCGGACGUAGCAAAUGUUGGUUUGCUGAUGUGGUACUUUUAAAGUUGUCCUCUCUUUAUUUUAUCAACUCUAUACAUUUCACUUUCAAUAUGCACAUGGUGUGAUUCCACCAGUGUUCUAGGAUAGAUCUGACUUUACUACUUAAUGUGAACUCCAGAGGCAUUUAUAAAACCUAAAAAUGAUGCUGUGGAGUGGGAAAAAAUAGAUCAGAUCGACGCCUAAUGGGGGAGAGAGAGAGAGAGAGAGAGAGAGAGUUAACGCUACUCUACUUAUUCCAGAAGAGUUAGAAGAGUCUUAUCAAAGACGACAUCUUGCGCUGUUUGCUUUUAUGUGAAAAAUUACGCCAAAUGAUUUUUAAAAUUACUUUGAACGAUCAAAACAAGACUAUGGCUUCAAUAUUUUUCUGGUCCAUUGGUGAAUUUGAUGUAUGUGUGAUAACAAACUCUCUAUGUAAUCUUGUUGAAAAACUUUUUUAAUGUUAUGAAUGAUUAUUUAAUAUUGUAAUGUUGACACUGUUUGAAUGACUGGAGUUUAAAACUUUUCUGGCGCACUUCCUCCUCAGACACAACCUGUCAAGUUUUUUUUCCUCACUAGAUAAUGUACAGUAAAGCUUCCUGAUUUAGAAAUGUAAACUAAAAGUUAAUGACAGAGAAAAGGCCUAGGUCUAGGAUAUAGCGUAAAGUGUUUCAAGUUCACAGUGUGACUGGAAUCUAGUGAUAAAGCUUAAAAUCAUUCAGACAAGAAGAUGAAGAUCAACUGAAAAUGUCAUGAAAAGUUUGACUACUCAUUAUACAUUUCCUUUUUUUUUCAGUUGAAAAUCGGAUAUCAUUUCCCAUUCAGAGGCGUAGAGAGCAUAUCUGGCGCCAGGGGCACGGUAUUUUAUUGGCACCCCACCCAACCCUCCAUUUUCCAGAAACAUCACAAAGGCUUCUAUAUAGAAUGCAUUUAAUAAUAAUAAUUCAUUACAAAUUACAAUAAAAUGUAUUA